rnacentral:rRNA from 1 species
GAUGAACGCUGGCGGCGUGCCUAAUACAUGCAAGUCGAGCGAACAGACGAGGAGCUUGCUCCUCUGACGUUAGCGGCGGACGGGUGAGUAACACGUGGAUAACCUACCUAUAAGACUGGGAUAACUUCGGGAAACCGGAGCUAAUACCGGAUAAUAUAUUGAACCGCAAGGUUCAAUAGUGAAAGACGGUUUUGCUGUCACUUAUAGAUGGAUCCGCGCCGCAUUAGCUAGUUGGUAAGGUAACGGCUUACCAAGGUAACGAUGCGUAGCCGACCUGAGAGGGUGAUCGGCCACACUGGAACUGAGACACGGUCCAGACUCCUACGGGAGGCAGCAGUAGGGAAUCUUCCGCAAUGGGCGAAAGCCUGACGGAGCAACGCCGCGUGAAUGAUGAAGGUCUUCGGAUCGUAAAACUCUGUUAUUAGGGAAGAACAAAUGUGUAAGUAACUAUGCACGUCUUGACGGUACCUAAUCAGAAAGCCACGGCUAACUACGUG